AGCUGUAAUGGCUCAAGUAGGAGAACACGUUCCCCCCACUUCUGGUACCUUUCCACUCCGACGUCAUGUGCUCAGUUCGAGCCUUGUGGUGGUCGUCCACUCGCUUCGGCAACGAGCGAUUGCUGCGUGCGGCCUUGAGCUUCUGAGGAAUCCUUCAGCCGAGAAAUCGGGCAGAGAACUUCAGACCAUGAGGUGGCGGUAUUGGAAUACACGUGGCGGCGGCGGUAUGAGACAAUGGGGAUUAUGGAGCGUGCGAUUCUUUUU
rnacentral:SRP_RNA from 2 species